UUUUGAGUUUGAUCCUGGCUCAAGGUUAACGUUAGUAAUACACAUUACACAUGCAAAUUGAAUGUUUCUUACAUAAUGAACGGGUGAGUAAUACAGCAGUUACCUACUUUUUACUAUGGGAUAUAAUACCAUUUUAUAGGGUAACCCCAGCAAAAAAUGGGCUGUUUCAGAAUUAGGUUGUUGGUUUUUUAAACGAUUCCCAAGCCAGUGAUUCUUAGUUGAUUCAAAAAGAAUAAACAGCCACACUAGAAUUGAGAUAAGGUCUAGUCUUUUUAUUAUGACAGCAGUGGGGAAUUUUGGGCAAUGAGUAAAUCUGCUUGACCCAGUGAUAUUACAUGGUUGAUGAAGGUUUUAUUUCUGUAAAAACCAUCUUUUUAGAAAGAGAUUGACUUCACUAAAAUAAGAAUCCCAACAAACUUCGUGCCAGCAGUUGCGGUAAAACGGAGGGGGUGGACGUUACCUAGAAUUAUUAGGCGUAAAAAGUUCGUAGAUUGUUUUUGGUUGUUACAUGUAAAAGAUUAAAAUUAACUUUAAAAAGCAUCUAAAACACAAAAACUUGAGUCUAAAAAAAGUUAAUAGAAUUUUAUAUGGAGGGGUAAAAUCUGAAGAUAUAUAAAAGAAUACCAAUUUGCGAAAGCAAUUAACUGUCAUUAGUACUGACUUUGAGGAACGAAAGCAAAAUUAGCAAAAGGGAUUAGGUACCCCUGUAGUUUUUGCUGUAAAUAAUGAAUGUUAAAACCUAAAAAAACAUCUUUAGGUUUUUUGUUAACGCUUUAAGCAUUCUGCCUGAAAAAUAUUGUCGCAAGAUUAAAAUUCAAAGGAAUUGGCGGGGAUUAAUACAAGCGGUGGAGUAUGUUGUUUAAUUUGAUAAUACGCAAAAAACCUUACCAAAAUUUGACAUAGAAAAAAUAGGCUUUCUAUUGAUUUUUGUAACUUUUUCUUACAGGUGUUGCAUGGCUGUCGUCAGUUCGUGUUGUGAAAUGUUAGAUUAAUUUCUAAAACGAACGAAACCCUUAUUCUUUAUUAUCUUGUUUUAUCAUUGUAAAACAGACACUUUAAGAAAACGAUUAGUAGAUAAGCUAAUUGAAAAAAAGGAUCACGUCAAGUCCUCAUGACCCUUAUAUUUUGGGCUACAAACGUACUACGAAAAAAACUACAAAAAGAAGCAAAAAGGAAUUAACUUACUUUGAGCAAAACUUAAAAAUUUUUUUUUUCGGAUUCUAAGCUGAAACUCGCUUAUAUAAAGAUGGAAUCGCAAGUAAUCGUAAAUCAGUAUGUUACGGUGAAAAUGUACCUUAAUCUUGUACAUACCGCCCGUCACAUCUUGAAAAUAAACUCUUUUUAAAAAAAAGGUGAUUAACAGUAAAAUUUAAGUCUUUCUGAUUUUACGUUUUUAGAUUAGAUUUUAUAAUUGAGAUGAAGUCGUAACAAGGUAGCUGUAUGGGAACAUGCUGCUGGAAAA
rnacentral:rRNA from 1 species